UUCGUAGAAUGACGUACUUUUUAAGUAACUUGUCCAACCAAAUUAUAGAAUGGCCUGUUGUGCUCCUAUCCAGCACAGAAUGGGUUCUUGAGUUGGUGUCCGCAAAUAAAACUCAGAGUGACAUUUUCUUGUAUUUUAUUAGUAAUUAUAAUGAACAACGAUGACACAGACGACGAUUUUACGGACGGCGGACGAUGUGAUUAAAAUCAUAUGAAGACGGACGACGGAUGAUCGGAAGAUGAUUAAAGAACGAUGAUAAAGUACAACUUAUUCACUAAUUAAUUAACACGUUGAUGUGGCUUUUCUUAUUUCACGACGAUCAAGACGAGAAACAAAAGAAUGUCCUCGACACUAGCGCUCGCUCUUUAUUUAUGCUCUCGGUACGCUUACACAGUUUUAUUACUUACCUUCUUCUUCAAUGGUCACGUACAGUCCGACCCGAGUGACUUUGUCACAAGCUUUCUUUGUUUUAUACUAAUACCUUAGCACAUUCUUACAUUAUCUACGUGAGAAAAUAAUAUAAAAUAUAAAGGAGAAAUACAGGGGUUAUAACAGGCCAAAUGAACAAGAACAAACAAUAAUAGAAAACUACUUUCAAUCAAAAAACUUUCCUGGAGUUAUUGGUGUUAUAGAUGGAACAUAUAUACGUAUAAAUAAGACAUCAAAUGAUCUCUUAUCUCAACUCUUAUCUCAAUCGAAAGCAUUAUUUUUCUAUUCAGGUAUGACAUUUAUUUUUUUAAACGAAUAAUUGGUAACUAUUAUUAUGGUUUAAUAGGCGCAAGUUGUAUGUGACCAUCAAAGAAGAAUUAGGGAUAUCUUUGUAGGAUAUCCAGGCUCUGUCCAUGACAGUAGGGUUUUUCGUACUUCUCCACUAUCAGACAACUUAGCGGAAAUAUGCGGAAACUUUUAUAUACUAGGCGACACUGGAUAUCCAUGUCUUCCUAAUUUAAUGACACCUUUCCGUGAUUGUGGACAGUUAACAGCUCGACAACAAAACUACAAUUUUCAACAAAUUUUCCUCUUACGCAAUUAUUCGAGAUUUGUAAAGAUUUCGUAAAUUCGCGAAACAUCACAAAAUAGGAAGUAUCUAUCGUUUAGAAAAAACCGUUGCACCGCAACCCUAACCAAUACAUCAAAAAUUUUCCUUUUUCUUGCGUAAAACAUAGAUAAAGAGCAUUAUAAAUUGACUAGAUUUUUCUUCUCUCCUCAUACUUCAUUGUGAAAGUUUAUUGAGGACGUUGAAAAAGUGAAAAAAAAAAAUGUCCGAGUGUAAUGAAUUUGUCUGCAUCAUCAAAGAAAAUCCUGAUGGGACAACGACCAUCAGGAAAUUUAAAUUUGAUGCGAAGUGAAAGAUGAAUCUCAGAAGAGUGAACCGGAGGAGACUAAAAAAGAAGAAAAACAAAUCAUCAGUAGGAUGGAGGUAUAUGAUUCGGAAUGGGAUGAUGAUGUUACAAUAAUCAAGACGAGUAAUACCUCCUUCGUAAACAUAGCAAACCCCUCAUCAUCGCAAUGUAUUUCAAAUAGACCAACAUCACCUUUUAGGUACAAAAAAUGGGGGAGAUGGAGGAGAAGGAGGAUAAUUCGGAAUGAGGACGAUAUGCUAUCCUCAGGCCCCCAUCCCCUUCUCCCCCAUCAACAAAAUCGUCGAGUGAGAUAAGUGGUGACGGAGUUGGUGAUGAGGAUGAGGGAUAUAACGUUUACAACACCAAAAUCACACUUUAUACCAACCAAUUUAGAACGGGCCCCUGAAAAGAUGAGACUGAGACCUUUCCAGGAAUCCACCAGGUACUGUCAAAGUCAAAGAAUUAAUCAAAACCUCGAAAAUAUUACAAAAAUACUUUAUAAAAUUGUAGAGGAAUUAAGAAAGUAGAGGAAAAAUAAAAAAAAAUUUAGUACGUAAUUUUUUGUUUUUAUUGUUUUAAUUACGUUAAUUCACUACAAAGAACCUUAAUUUUUUUUAUAAACUAUUUCCUAUUUUUUCUAUACCCUACAAAUGACUAAAAGAAAUUCUACUCGAACAUACAUGCGGGGUGGAGGUGGUGUUUGUGAAAGGUUCCCAAAAGGAAACGCUACUAAAAAAUCUACUACCUUGAGAAAAACCGAUUAUCAUUAAUCUACAACAUAAUUUGUAUUGUCCUCUACUCUCAAUUAGUUUAAAUGCUUGUAGACAUCAUUAUAAAUCUACAAGUAAUUGUGUAAUUGAAAAUUUUAAAUACUAAAUUUUUAAAACAUCACCACUCUCAUAAUUUAAAUGAUGUAAAUUAUUUUCCAAACAACUUGCCUACGUUCUUGUUUAUUUAGUCUUUCUUUACCGUGGUCGCGUUGAAAAAGGAAAUGCGAAAUCGACGCACCAUCGCUGAUGGCUAGUUCUUUUACUCGAAAUCCUAAAGAGAGUGUAAAGCCUUGCAUAUCGAUAACUUUAAUCGAAUUUCGCGAUGCCAUAAUUUUUUAAACGAUGAUUUAGUAUAGGAGAUACAAUCACUUCUAUUUUUUUAAUACAUUUCAAAAAUCUUAGACUAUCUCUACAGACUUAUUCCUAAUUAGGAGACUCGAUUUCUAUUAAUUCGAUUAAAUUUAUUCAUGAAUGAUUAUAGUUGAGGAAAACAUAAUCGAUCUUCUUCUCUCCUCCUCCACCUUCCCCUCUAUACAUUUCGUCUAAGAUAUCAAGUUAUGUGAAUUCAUUUAAUUUAGUUUUUAGUCUUUUUGUUUCCUGUUUGUUGUAGUUUUCGGCAAUACAUUCCAAGCAAGCCGAACAAAUAUGGCAUAAAAAUUUUCGCUCUUUGCGAUGCUAGAAUGUACUACACCGCUAAUUUAGAGGUAUAUGUCGGAAAGCAACCAGAAGGUCCAUAUUCAAGUAAUAACAGCGCAUUAUCGGUUGUUGAAAGAUUAUGCACAGCUAUACAGGGAACAGGUAGAAACUUGACUACCGAUAAUUGGUUCACUAGUUUGGAACUAGCU